GUAAUAUCCAAAGGUAUUUUGUCAAUUGCAAGGGUUUUUUCGUGUUUGGAUCUUUCAAAUCGAUACUUCGUAUAAUUUUUCUCAACAUGCUGAUUCUCUUUGUUUUCGAUUGUGAUUGGUAAUUUACAGGAUUGUGCUCGGGAGCGUGAGCAGCCAUGUCAUAGCGAAUGCGACUUGCCCAGUCACUAUAGUCAAGGAUCCGAACGUCCAUGGAUUUUGAUUUUGAUUUUGGGGUAUUAUUGGGCAAUUUCUGCUUCGUUACAUAAGAUUGCAGGUGCGGAAAAACAAUUUAUACGAUUGUGCUUCGAUCAAGCAUCUACCAGCGUGAACUGUCUCCGAGUUUGAUGUUCCUUGUUUUUUGUUUUUGUUAAAUAUAUCAGUUUGGCAACAUUU
rnacentral:lncRNA from 1 species